GUUUGUAGAAGUAAGCUUAUCAUCUUUGUUUAAUGAGGAUCUCUUCUACCAACACCAUGUCUUCUUCAUCCUUGAUACACUUCACUUGAUUUAGGUCUCGGGCCUCCUCUCUCGCCUUCGCGAACCUUUACAGUUUCUUAUCUCCGCCUUUGUCUCCUAGUUUAUCAUAUAGUCGUUCGAAAACUGUCGUUUUGCUAUUGUAGCCACUAACUUAGCCUCCG
rnacentral:misc_RNA from 1 species